CGUAGGGGGUCAAGUGAAGGCGGAUUCGUCCCACCACUGGUCCUUCUUUGAAACUUGGCCCAUAAGUUUGCGGGAAAGACAAGAUCAUUGCACCUACUUCUCUCAUUCUUGACCAUUGAAACCCGCUUUACUUCGAGUCAAAGGCGAUGAAUCCACUUUCUUUUUAGGAUUGCUCAUUGUUGUUUCACUUAAUGCCCCUCUCAAUCGCCCUUAGGUUUUGUCUUCCAAUUCGUACUCUAUGAAAGAGAAUGGCAUACUGUCGAAGGUUAGAAUAUACUCGAGUGAAAGGAGAGGGAGAAGGGAGAACUCGAUAACAAAGCUAAGAAUAAAGGAAAAGGACCAAGCUACGAAGUCCGGUGAAUCACGAGAGGGGAUGCUUCUGAAAGUGCUGUUGUGAAGUUCGGUGAAUCACGAGAGGGGAUGCUUCUGAAAGUGUUGUUGGUGAGGCCAUUUGAAUUAGAUUAAUCAACCCCCUAGCGAAAACAAGGAGAUUAAUUAGGCCCAGAUACAGGUGUUUCGGUCACAAGGGCUUCACGUUGAACGAGGUGGGUGCAAAGCAAAGGGAACUAGCACAAAUAGACGUGACUAAUGCAAUAAGUAGACAAAUAGCCUCUCGUGUAGAUGGUGGGGCGUGGUUUCGGGUUCAGUGAACUUAAUUCUAUAGUAUACUGGCCAGUCUGGUGGUAGCAUCGGAUUACGGGUCACUAGUUUUUUGCAGCGGUUAGUAGACUUUCGGUGAAGCUGCUCCCACGCAGUCGCUGUUAACAGAGAUCUUGCAUAUGAGAUGUUAAUCCCAACCUAUUUAAAUUAAAUCAACAGCCGGAGCACUUACCAAAUAAGAAUGUUGCCUAUAUUCAACUAAGACUGAUCUUCUCUAUGUGCCAUUUUCCCCUUCUCCUAUUGAUUUAAUUCUUGAAAAAAAU
rnacentral:lncRNA from 1 species